CCCCGUGGAGGAUCAACUCAAUGGCUGAACACUGGGAAGGAACUGGUACUUGGAGUCCAGACAUCUGAAACUUGGUAAGACUAGUCUUUGGAACUUGCCUACUCCGUUUGAGUGGAAGCGUGGCCUGAUCACACACCUUUAUUGGCACUUUGGUUUGGUUUUGGUUUUGGUUUUGACUUGGUUUGAAUUGCUUGACAGGCCCGGUCUUGGGAACUUGCCCACUCCAUUUGAGUGGAAGUGUGGCGUGCCUGUACCGGAACUUUGGUUUUUGUUUUUGACUUGACUUGGAUUGCUUGAUACUUUGGUUUUGGUUUUGAACUGGCU
rnacentral:lncRNA from 10 species